rnacentral:lncRNA from 1 species
UAUAAAUAGCUUUUCUCUCUUUUUUUUGGGCGGCAUUCAUUCACUGUAGAAGAUAUUUUCUGAUUUUUUAGAGAGAGAGAGAGAGAGAGAGAGCAUUUCUAGAGAGAGAAACAUGAAGCAAGAGUGUUAGAAGUUGAUUCUUCCCAAGAUUUGUAGAGAAAUCAUGAAUCUUGUCAUGAAUCUUCAUCUUUUCUUCCAUUUUUGCAAGGCUACUAUGAAAGUAUGUGGCUAUAAUCUAUCCUUUGGGGUUAGAGGUACUAGAUCAAGUUAAUAUGUACUCUUUUUUAUCCUUAAAUAUAUGAUUCUAACAGUAUUUUACUUGAUGUUGAUUUUAUUCUUGUGUUUAAUGUUAUAUUUAUGAUUUGAAAUGAU